GAUGAACGCUGGCGGCGUGCUUAACACAUGCAAGUCGAACGGAAAGGCCCAAGCUUGCUUGGGUACUCGAGUGGCGAACGGGUGAGUAACACGUGGGUGAUCUGCCCUGCACUUCGGGAUAAGCCUGGGAAGCUGGGUCUAAUACCGGAUAGGACCACAUUUUGGAUGGUGUGGUGGAAAGUUUUUCGGUGUGGGAUGAGCUCGCGGCCUAUCAGCUUGUUGGUGGGGUAAUGGCCUACCAAGGCGUCGACGGGUAGCCGGCCUGAGAGGGUGUACGGCCACAUUGGGACUGAGAUACGGCCCAGACUCCUACGGGAGGCAGCAGUGGGGAAUAUUGCACAAUGGGCGCAAGCCUGAUGCAGCGACGCCGCGUGGGGGAUGACGGCCUUCGGGUUGUAAACUCCUUUCGCUAGGGACGAAGCGUUAUGUGACGGUACCUGGAGAAGAAGCACCGGCUAACUACGUG
rnacentral:rRNA from 1 species